rnacentral:rRNA from 1 species
AUUGAACGCUGGCGGCAGGCCUAACACAUGCGAGUCGAGCGGAUGAAGGGAGCUUGCUCCUGGAUUCAGCGGCGGACGGGUGAGUAAUGCCUAGGAAUCUGCCUGGUAGUGGGGGAUAACGUCCGGAAACGGGCGCUAAUACCGCAUACGUCCUGAGGGAGAAAGGGGGGGAUCUUCGGACCUCACGCUAUCAGAUGAGCCUAGGUCGGAUUAGCUAGUUGUUGGGGUAAAGGCCUACCAAGGCGACGAUCCGUAACUGGUCUGAGAGGAUGAUCAGUCACACUGGAACUGAGACACGGUCCAGACUCCUACGGGAGGCAGCAGUGGGGAAUAUUGGACAAUGGGCGAAAGCCUGAUCCAGCCAUGCCGCGUGUGUGAAGAAGGUCUUCGGAUUGUAAAGCACUUUAAGUUGGGAGGAAGGGCAGUAAGUUAAUACCUUGCUGUUUUGACGUUACCAACAGAAUAAGCACCGGCUAACUUCGUG